GAUGAACGCUGGCGGCGUGCCUAAUACAUGCAAGUCGAGCGAACAGAUGAGGAGCUUGCUCCUCUGACGUUAGCGGCGGACGGGUGAGUAACACGUGGAUAACCUACCUAUAAGACUGGGAUAACUUCGGGAAACCGGAGCUAAUACCGGAUAAUAUAUUGAACCGCAUGGUUCAAUAGUGAAAGACGGUUUUGCUGUCACUUAUAGAUGGAUCCGCGCCGCAUUAACUAGUUGGUAAGGUAACGGCUUACCAAGGCAACGAUGCGUAGCCGACCUGAGAGGGUGAUCGGCCACACUGGAACUGAGACACGGUCCAGACUCCUACGGGAGGCAGCAGUAGGGAAUCUUCCGCAAUGGGCGAAAGCUUGACGGAGCAACGCCGCGUGAGUGAUGAAGGUCUUCGGAUCGUAAAACUCUGUUAUUAGGGAAGAACAAAUGUGUAAGUAACUAUGCACGUCUUGACGGUACCUAAUCAGAAAGCCACGGCUAACUACGUGC
rnacentral:rRNA from 1 species